rnacentral:rRNA from 1 species
UACGUAGGGGGCAAGCGUUGUCCGGAAUCAUUGGGCGUAAGAGCGCGUAGGCGGCCCGGUAAGUCCGCUGUGAAAGUCAAAGGCUCAACCUUUGAAUGUCAGCGGAUACUGCCGGGCUAGAGUCCGGAAGAGGCGAGUGGAACUCCUGGUGUAGCGGUGGAAUGCGCAGAUAUCAGGAGGAACACCAAUGGCGAAGGCAGCUCGCUGGGACGGUACUGACGCUGAGGCGCGAAAGCGUGGGGAGCAAACAGG